CAUACUCGUUGACAUCUAUGCCAUCAAAUAUGAUCUCAUUGCUAGCGCCUCUAAAUAUGGUUUUUUGAGUCCGCUAAUGACUUACUGUGGUAAUGGAGGACCUCCAUAUAACUACAAUAUCAGGGUCACCUGUGGUACACCUGGCUGUGAGGCCUGCAGUAAUGGAUCUCAAUACAUCAGUUGGGAUGGCAUUCACCACACAGAAGCUGCUAACUCCAUCAUAGCCUCGAAAAUAUUGUCCACAGCUUAUUCAACACCACGGACUCCAUUGAAUUUUUUUUGCCGAAGAUGAUAUGUUCAGGUGAAGCACAUUUGAGUGCACACCACACAUCCACGUGCUUUAUUGUAGCAAUUUUUCAUCUUAUAGCUAUGAGAAGAUGGUAACCUCGCAUUGCCUGUAACAACAGUUAAUGGAGGAAUUAGGAUGAUCGCAUCGCCGAUCAGUGAUUAGACAGAUUUAGUUCCUUGCUGAAGCUAAACCGGGUGGCAAAGCAUCUGUCAAGUGGCGAA